CACCUACUCUCCCAGACCCGUAAGGAAAUCUUUCUCUCUCUGAAAACAACCCACCGCCCAGUUCUCCUUCUUCCUCUCCUCUCUCUUGUCAGAUCUCGAUCUUUUAUCGGGAUCCUUGGCUUGAGAGUGGUGGUGGGGGGGGGGGGGGAGGCCUUAGAUCUAGCUUUCUUUUCUGUUUUUGUCGGUUUUAUUUUCCGUCUUGCUUUUCUUUCAACCGGUUUCACCAUGUCUGCCGUCUUUGGUGGUUUUGUAGCUCGGAGUUCGUCUCCGUUCUGGUCUUGCCCCAUUUUCUGUGUUUCCGAUUUCAGACUUCCCUAUUCAAUGGUUUCCCUCCUUUUCAUCUCCCUCUGUUCUGCUUGGUUUGGGUCAUCGGUUCUUCGAAACCACUCUCUAUGUGGGAUUUUCUCACUAUCGCACGGUGUGAUGCAACAAGAUUCUGUGUACCUUCGGGUGCCUGUCUCUUCGAUUCCACCUUCAUCAGGUUUUUCCGGACUUCUUUCAUCUGGUUUAUCCAGUUGUUGUGUCUUUGGUUCUUUUGGCAGAUGAGGGUUCUGGUGAUUUCUGGAGGUUUGAAGGCUGGUUUCAUGGAAUUUGGCAUAAGUCCUGCUCGACCCAUUGUCCUGAAAUGCUCCUGUCGCUAUUUGCUUCACGUUGGGUUCAAGUUGGGUUCGAUUUGGGGGUUUUCCAUUCUGCUGAAAAGGGGAUUGAGUUGGGUUCGAGUUGAAGGAGGAGGAAAGGGGUUUCACGGGUUUAGGGAUUGUUGCUCAAUUCCUUUCGAUUGCAUCAAGAGCAACCUCGUUGGCUCUCACCUAGUCGAAUCUGCUCACUAAGCGACGAAUAAGAAGAUGCAAGAGAAGAUGGAAAUGAGACUUGGGGGUAUAAUUAAUUGCUCUAAAUCAUGUAAAGGUACUUGUGAAUAGCAAAGAAGCUUGUGAUCAUGGGCGCAAGGUGGGAGGCUGCAUUAUAUUUUUUUUCUUUUGAGUUGAACAAAGAUGUAAAUCGAACUAGGAGCACUGGAAUAAUUGGUGAUAGAGGAUCCAGAGAAAGUCAGGUUUCGGUCGAUCACCCCAAUCUCCUUUUCAAGCAUAGUUGCUGCCCUGUUUUGGCAUAAGUCGAGUGGGAUAGAGCCUAUACUUAAUAUCCAGCGGGAGAGGAGAGGCAGCAGCCAAUAUACCCAAGAAGAUAUUGAUCAGUUGCGAAAUGAGUGGGAGAAGUUUGUGGUGAAGAGGUAUGUGUAGGAGCCAUGAAGUAGUUUGCUAAUGAAGGAAAGCAUCUUUUUUGUGCUUCUCUGCUAGUACAUUAUUCAUGCACCAUAUAUGUGGCAUGUUUAAUUGAACAAUAUAUGUAAUUGUAUACGCUUUUGAUGUCCCAAGUAGAUGGGCAUGUAUAUGAAUGCUUUUCUUCUAUUAAUGGUUGCUUGGAUGAUGGGGAAAUGCUCCCUUUUAACA